UGCCUAUGAUGUUCAUAUUCACGAAUUAUCAGAUAUAGAGAUGAUGAUGAUAUGUGAUUGUCACUACCUCUGAGGCA